rnacentral:rRNA from 1 species
UACGUAGGGACCGAGCGUUGUCCGGAAUCAUUGGGCGUAAAGAGCGUGUAGGCGGCCUUUUAAGUCCUGCGUGAAAUCCCUGCGGCUCAACCGCAGACGGUCGUGGGAAACUGGAAGGCUAGAGUGCGGGAGAGGAGAGUGGAAUUCCCGGUGUAGCGGUGAAAUGCGCAGAUAUCGGGAAGAACACCCGUGGCGAAGGCGGCUCUCUGGAACGCAACUGACGCUGAGACGCGAAAGC